rnacentral:tRNA from 1 species
GGAUUGUGGCUCAGUGGUAGAGCACUUGCCUAGCACAUGUGAAGCAUGGGUUCAAUCCUCAACAUCA